GAUGAACGCUAGCGGGAGGCUUAACACAUGCAAGUCGAGGGGUAGGGAAGCAAUUCCUGAGACCGGCGGACGGGUGCGUAACGCGUAUGCAACCUGCCUUAUACAGGGGGAUAGCCCAUGGAAACGUGGAUUAACACCCCAUAGGAUUACGGGAUCGCAUGAUUGUGUGAUUAAAACUGAGGUGGUAUAAGAUGGGCAUGCGUCUGGUUAGGUAGUUGGUAGGGUAAUGGCCUACCAAGCCGACGAUCAGGAGGGGUUCUGAGAGGAUUACCCCCCACACUGGUACUGAGACACGGACCAGACUCCUACGGGAGGCAGCAGUGAGGAAUAUUGGUCAAUGGCCGGAAGGCUGAACCAGCCAUCCCGCGUGCAGGAUGACGGCCCUAUGGGUUGUAAACUGCUUUUGUACCUGAAGAAUAGGCCCAACGAGUUGGGAUUUGCCGGUAAGGUAUGAAUAAGCAUCGGCUAACUCCGUGCCAGCCGCCGCGGUAA
rnacentral:rRNA from 1 species